GCCCGGCUAGCUCAAUCGGUAGAGCGCGAGACUCUUAUCCUUGCGGGCAGAUAUCUCGAGGUUGAGGGUUCGACCCCCUCGUUGGGCG